GGUGAUGUAGGUUGGUCAUGCCUCCGGUAUGUACUGGCCUCACUGAUUCCUCCUUCCUGAUGAACCGUAAUGCCAUUAAUUUGGUGUUGCGGGGAAUUUGGACUGUUACUUUGAAAAAAUUAGAGUGUUUAAAGCAAGCUAACGCUUGAAUACAUUAGCAUGGAAUAAUGAAAUAGGACGUUCGAUCCUAUUUUGUUGGUUUCUAGGAUUGACGUAAUGAUUAAUAGGGAUAGUUGGGC
rnacentral:rRNA from 1 species